UGGCCCAUGGUGUAAUUGGCAACACAGCUGGUUUUGGUCCAGUCGUUCUAGGUUCGAGUCCUAGUGGGCCAACGA
rnacentral:tRNA from 1 species